rnacentral:rRNA from 1 species
UGAAUACGAGACGCUACGGCGUCGAAGCAGUCUAUGUCAUACUUCCAAGAAAAGCUUGCACUGUCAUAAACAAAUAAUGCCUGUACCAUAACCGACACAGGUGGGUAGGUAGAGUAUACUAAGGGGCGCGAGAUAACUCUCUCUAAGGAACUCGGCAAAAUGACUCCGUAACUUCGGGAGAAGGAGUGCCUUAUUUAUAAGGUUGCAAUAACAAGAUCCAAGCAACUGUUUAUCAAAAACACAGGUCUCCGCUAAGUCGUAAGACGAUGUAUGGGGGCUGACGCCUGCCCAGUGCCAGAAGGUUAAAGAAGUUGGUUAGCAUUAGCGAAGCUGAUAACUGAAGCCCUGGUGAACGGCGGCCGUAACAAUAACGGUCCUAAGGUAGCGAAAUUCCUUGUCGGGUAAGUUCCGACCCGCACGAAAGGCGUAAUGAUUUGGAUACUGUCUCAGAGAGGGGCUCGGUGAAAUAGACUUGUCUGUGAAGAUGCGGACUACCUGCACCAGGACAGAAAGACCCUAUGAAGCUUUACUGUAACUUGAAAUUGAAAUUGGACUUUAUUUGCGCAGUAUAGGUGGGAGGCAUUGAUAAUAUUCUUGCGGGAAUGUUGGAGCCAUCAGUGAGAUACCACUCUUGUAAUGUUAGAUUUCUAACUUUGGAUCAUUAUCUGGUCAAAGGACAGUUUCAGGCGGGCAGUUUGACUGGGGCGGUCGCCUCCUAAAUGGUAACGGAGGCGCACAAAGGUUUCCUCUGAACGGGUAGAAAUCGUAUCUAGAGUGUAAAGGCAUAAGGAAGCUUGACUGUGAGACCUACAAGUCGAGCAGGGACGAAAGUCGGUCUUAGUGAUCUGACGGUGCUGAGUGGAAAGGCCGUCACUCAACGGGUAAAAGUUACUCUAGGAUAACAGGCUGAUCUCCCCCAAGAGUUCACAUCGACGGGGAGGUUUGGCACCUCGAUGUCGGCUCAUCGCAUCCUGGGGCGGUAGUGCGUCCCAAGGGUUGGGCUGUUCGCCCAUGAAAGCGGUACGCGAGCUGGGUUCAGAACGUCGUGAGACAGUUCGGUCCAUAUCCGGUGUAGGCGUUAGAAUAUUGAGAGGAGCCUUCUUUAGUACGAGAGGACCGAGAAGGACAUACCUCUGGUGUACCAGUUAUCGUGCCAACGGUAAACGCUGGGUAGCUAUGUAUGGAGAGGAUAACCGCUGAAAGCAUCUAAGUGGGAAGCCCACCUCAAGAUAAG